ACAGCUAUGCCUAUUUCAAAACCAAAAAUAAAAAGGGGGGGAGGGUCCUCUAAGUGAGGCUCUAUUGCAAGCACAAUGUCCCUGUGACAUGUCGUAUCCCUUUCGUAACACAUUUCUGAAUCGCAGCACAAGACUUUGAGAAAUCAUGACACAUUUCAUAAUGACCCUUUUCCUCUGCUCUCUGGCAAUUUCCUGACCUUCUGACGUGGCAGCAGCCAAAGAUGACUUGUUUGGUUCUAGAAGCAAAGCGUGGCACUCUUCAGGAUCUCCCUAACACGAUAUGCCGAAGAUCAAAUGUUUGCCGGCUUCUGGAAUGACGGGCCGAGAGCACCUUGCCCACACCUUCUCCGGGAAGCACAGCGGUGGAGCAGUUAGGAGAUGAGCUCUGCAAUCUGUACCCACCCAGGUUCAAAUCCCUGUGUGGGCCCCGGGGCUGGCUGCCUCACUUCUGCAAGCCUUGCUUUUGGAAGGACAUUAAUAAGGCCCGUCUCCUGGGUUUCUGGGAGGAUUAUGCAAGAAAAUGGUGGAAGAUGCUCUGUACCUGACUCCUCCUGGGGAGAUCUACAGGGAGAGAAGUCUAUGGAAUCCUGACACGAUCCUUUUAGGGUGUGUCUCCCUCAGUGACCAGUUCCUGGAGAACAAGAGCUGUGUCUCAUCCACGCGCCUCCCGAGCGCAUGGCAUACAGCAGGUGUUCCCUACGUGUGUGCUGAAUUGAACAGGACCCGGGGAGGGAGAAGGCAAGCUGUGUCCUAUGGGUAAGGGUUUAACAUCCUCUAAAUUAUACCCUCUUAAAAACAGAUCUCCAUAUGGACAAUGAACAGAAGGGAAUAAAGUGAAAACACAAAAUUA